UAGUGUAUUUUAACACACACUUGAAAUGUACGAGCAGUCAUUUUUAUCAUCCAACUGUCGCAGAACGGCAGCGUUAUUAGCCGACCGUUCACUGAAGAAUAUAACUACAGUCAACGGCUGUCCAUCGAAGGCCCUAGCCGCUUGAAUCUGGAUUGGCAGGAAAGAUAAACUAGCCGGAUUCCUCAGUCUGGAAACAACCGCGCAGUAGAGUGGACGGAUGAAAAUCGCGCUCUGCAGAUUUCGAGUGCCGGGUUCUCAGCCUCUUGGAUCCUGCGCUCCGGGUCCGCUUUCUGGUGCAACUCGAGUUCCGGGACAAGCGCUCCGUAGCUUCUGAGCUCCAGGUCCGCUACCUCGUGAAACUCGACUUCCGGGACAAGUGCUACGUAGUUUCUGCGCUUCGGGUCCGCUACCUAACGAAACUCGACUUCAGGGACAUGUGGUGAAUAAGGAGGAAGAGGACAAGGAUUUCUGCUCAGUAUAACCUGAGGUGGUUGAAGGUGGUCGGAGGUGGACG